GGAAAUCCAUGGAGCUCGUUGGAAACCUAACCUGCUUGGCAAGCUUUGAACCAGACUGUUUCAAGAAAACAAGGAUGGCACCUAAGGAACCACAGCUGAAGUUGACCCCUUGCUUCCAUACACACAAGCAGUGCACAUGAGUCUAGCCUGCUGUGUAUACACUGUCACAGAACUUCAUUUAUCAAAGCCCACUAGAAUCAAUGUGGUAGUGCAUCCACUAAUCCCAACAGCAAUUGAGAGUUUGAGGCCAGCCUGGGCUAUAUAAUGAGACCUUGUCUGGGGAACAAAACAAAGGAUAACCCAAUUAAUUAAAAUGAUCAUAGGACCAAGCAUUAUGGGGCACUCCUUUGAUCUCAGCACUCUGGAGACAGGUAAAAGGAUCUAUCCGGGUUCAAGGCUACCCUGGUCUACAUAGCAAGUUCCACGACAGGCAAGAUUUCAUAGAGAUAAACUAUGUCUCAAAAAAAAAAAAAAAAAAAAAAAAAAAAACACGUAUGAAAGGAAAGAUAGAUAUGCAGCACAGCAGUAGGGCUCUUUCUUUCGUGGAAAGAUACUGUGUUACCUAGCACCACAAACCAGAAAAGAAGAAUUUCCUAGGUGUAUACUACUUCAACUGAUAUUUCUUGGUCAUGGCUAACAAAACUAUUUGAAAACUUAUGUCAGAAAUAUUGACCUUAGCAUGCUGGUGGACACCUUUAAUCCCAGUGCUUGGGAAACAGAGGCAGGCAGAGCUCUGUAAGUUCAAGGCCAUUCUACAUAGUGAAUACCUGAAUUCCGGACCAACCAGGGCUACAUAGUGAGAGCCUGUCUUAAAACAACAACAACAAAAAAUUAGUUUCUAUUGCUACAUGUUGUUGCUGUGGUUUGGUGAUGUCACACCAGUGUGGAAAAUCAUAUCACAAAGGAGCAGUGCAGUUUGACGUUGUAUAAUUCUUGUCAAGGAUUCAUUGUCCACUUGACUCAUUUUGUUUUGUUGGAGAAAGAAUCUCACUGUGGAGACCAGGCCCGCUUUUGUCUCCCAAGUGCUAGGAUUAAAACUGUGCACCACUAUGAUAGCCUUUUUUAAAAUAAAGAUAAUUAGCGAUCUCUUAAUGAUCUAGAAUGUGUACGAGGAACUAUUCCGUUUUUUCUCUGCUGGACACAAAGCCUUAGAUUUUGGGUAUUCUGUCUUAUUUCCAUUUUUCAUGUAUUCGUAAGUACCAUUAUGCUACAGGUGGCUUUAGCCUAACCAUUUGGGUGAGACAUUAACCUAUUAACCUGUUGGGUUUCUUCCCCAGCUUCCCUUAGGUCAUAAUAAGGAUUAAACCUAGAGCCUCAUGAAUGCUACUUUCCUGCCACUAAACUGUGUCCCAGCCCACUUUUUAGCGAGACAGGAUUUUACAGUUAACCACACUGGCCUUGAAUUCACUCUGCAGCUGAGGUAUACCUUCAACCUCUCAGCCCUUAUGCCUCAGCCUGGCUGCACAGACAGACCCAGCUCUGUCUGUCAUUCUUGGAUUUCGGUUCUUGUGACAUUUGUUUAUGUAAUUCUGCCUUUUAAACUAUUAAGCAUUAUGUAAUACCCACCAGAAACUUAGCUGUCUCUUGCCCAACUAGUUACUAGUCGACUUCUACCUCAAAAUUGAAGCUUGCCCCAUCCUUCUACAUCCUCUGAACAUAAUUUGACAGGAUCCUCUUAGUUUUUCUAAAUACUUGUCCUUUUUUUUUUGCAGUGUUUCAAAGGCUUUUGCUAUCAUUUUGUUAAUCCUCAACUACAUUGCAGUCCUCUUCCUCAUAACCUAUUUAAAAGCUAAAAUUCAAAACACAUAACAAAUAUAUGUAUCAAUAUGUAUGAAAAUGCCUGCUAUCACAUGAUAAGCAUUAGG
rnacentral:lncRNA from 1 species